rnacentral:rRNA from 1 species
GACGAACGCUGGCGGCGUGCUUAACACAUGCAAGUCGAACGGAAAGGCCCUGCUUUUGUGGGGUGCUCGAGUGGCGAACGGGUGAGUAACACGUGAGUAACCUGCCCUUGACUUUGGGAUAACUUCAGGAAACUGGGGCUACUACCGGAUAGGAGCUCCUGCUGCAUGGUGGGGGUUGGAAAUUUUGGGCGGGUGGGGAUGGACUCGCGGCUUACCAGCUUGUUGGUGGGGUAGGGGCUUACCCAGGGUUUGACGGGUCGCCGGCCUGAGAGGGUGACCGGCCACAUGGCGACUGCGAUACGGCCCAGUCGCGUACGGGGGGCAGCAGUGGGGAGUAUGGCACAAUGGGCGGGAGCCUGAUGCAGCGACGCCGCGUGCGGGAUGACGGCCUGCGGGUAGUAAACAGCUUUCGCCUGUGACGAAGCGUGAGUGACGGUAAUGGGUAAAGAAGCACCGGCUAACUACGUG